AUUGAACGCUGGCGGCAGGCCUAACACAUGCAAGUCGAACGAGUGGCGGACGGGUGAGUAAUGUCUGGGAAACUGCCUGAUGGAGGGGGAUAAAUACUGGAAACGGUAGCUAAUACCGCAUACCAUCGGAUGUGCCCAGGUGGGAUUAGCUAGUAGUUGGGGUAAAGGCUCACCUAGGCGACGAGCCCGAGCUGGUCUGAGAGGAUGACAAGCCACACGGGAACUGAGACACGGUCCAGACUCCUACGGGAGGCAGCAGUGGGGAAUAUUGCACAAUGGGCGCAAGCCUGAUGCAGCCAUGCCGCGUGUGUGAAGAAGGCCUUCGGGUUGUAAAGUACUUUCAGCGGUGAGGCGUUACCCGCACAGGAAGCACCGGCUAACUCCGUGCCAGCAGCCGCGGUAAUAC
rnacentral:rRNA from 1 species